GACGAACGCUGGCGGCGUGCCUAAUACAUGCAAGUAGAACGCUGAAGAGAGGAGCUUGCUCUUCUUGGAUGAGUUGCGAACGGGUGAGUAACGCGUAGGUAACCUGCCUGGUAGCGGGGGAUAACUAUUGGAAACGAUAGCUAAUACCGCAUAAAAUGGAUUAUCGCAUGAUAAUCCAUUGAAAGGUGCAAAUGCAUCACUACCAGAUGGACCUGCGUUGUAUUAGCUAGUUGGUGGGGUAACGGCUCACCAAGGCGACGAUACAUAGCCGACCUGAGAGGGUGAUCGGCCACACUGGGACUGAGACACGGCCCAGACUCCUACGGGAGGCAGCAGUAGGGAAUCUUCGGCAAUGGACGGAAGUCUGACCGAGCAACGCCGCGUGAGUGAAGAAGGUUUUCGGAUCGUAAAGCUCUGUUGUAAGAGAAGAACGAGUGUGAGAGUGGAAAGUUCACACUGUGACGGAAUCUUACCAGAAAGGGACGGCUAACUACGUG
rnacentral:rRNA from 1 species